GCUUGAAGUGGACACGACGACUUAAUAAGAAAGCUGCAACUUUUCACACUAAUGACAAACAGGUUUAACUUCAAUUGGUAAAACCUGGUUUUUUAAUACCUCAACGCCAAGCUUUGGGACGAAUUUCGGAGUGUGCUUGGGAGCCAUCCUGGCCGCCAGUUGCAGAGGGCACGAUGUUGGCCAUUUCUUAAGCCAGAGGCUGACCAGAGUAGUAUUAUGGUCGAAAUAAAUGCGUAGAACAUUGAGAAAAUCUCAUUGAAAUGGUAUGAGAAGACAGGAGGGGCCGGAAUACAAACCAUAAGUGUACGAACAUACCAUAAAAGACGAAACAAAAUGUGUGGAAUUGGUUUGAUUCUUUCUGGCAUUCACAUUGUUAGCUCAUCUUCAAAUCUCUUUGACGGUUUCAAACAUGCUGAUUCUGGAAUCGCAUUGCAAGGGGAAGAACGGGUUCUCAGCCUGGAGGCUUCAGGUACCCUGUAUCCUACUGUGGAUGAUAUCAAGGAUGUUAUUAGUCGGAGGGGUCCAGAUCAUGUUGGACUUAAAACUUUACAUCUGGGGGUGGUCUCUGGACAUGAAUCUUUGUCCAUUAUAGGAGAACGGCCAAUAGAAAGCGAAGAAAACAAUUAUCAUUUAGAUGAGGCUUCAUAUAGAGCUUCAUAUAGAAGUUUAGAAGUGAAUGAAAAGCUGAAGACAUCUGCAGAAAUGAUCAGGGACUUUGAAAGUCAAAAUUCCUGCUGUCAGAUGGAUAAGAUAGAAUCAAGCUCAGAAGAAUAUAUGAACAAAUAUUCAGCUUCUUUUUCUGAUAUAAACCAAGCAGCAAAGCAUUCCAUUGUCCAUAAGUUUGUGGAAGGAAUCAAUGGACAAACAACAUAUGCCUUUCAAGAAAAUACAUGUGCCGAGAUGCUGUUUGUGGGUGCUACUUUGCAGCUUCGAGGGGUUCAUCCACUCUAUCAGCCUUUGGUAGAUACAUCGACAAAUAUUCUAGUUUAUAAUGGAGAAAUCUUUGGAGGCAUGCCUGUUGGGAAGGAAGAGAAUGAUGCAAUAGUCUUGAUGAAUGCUUUACAAAGGUGCUGUUCCUGUGCUUGUCAUUCUAGUAGAAGAUAUUGCCACUGUUGUCACCAGAAAGAGCAUAUUUCAGUACCAGAGUUACUAUCAACAAUAAAAGGGCCUUGGUCCUUAAUUUACUGGCAGGCAAAAUCAAACAUUGUGUGGUUUGGACGAGAUGCUUUUGGAAGGCGGAGCCUUUUAGUACAUUGGCCUUCACUGAAUGAUUCACGCCUUCUGCUUUCAUCUGCAGCACCCUUUAGGACUGAUAAAAAUACUAGAUACAGAAGCUGCAGAGAUAAAGUUGCUCAGAAUCCAACUGAUGAUUCUAUAGAGGGACGAGGAGUUGAUGAUUCAGAUGAUCUGGAAUAUUGGGAUGAGCUGGCCUGUGGAAUUUACAGCAUAUCGUUGGACUCUGGUAAAGAAUUUGGUUAUAAUGAAAAAAAAAUGUUUGUUUCUAUUGUCGGCAAAGUUGAGAAGCUUGACUGGUUUAAUCCCCAAAUAAAAAAGUUGCUAAAUUGGGAAAGGUGCUUUGUGGUCCCUGGAUCUAAUGAUAACAUUAUAUCCAAUUUUACAUAUUCUCAUGGUGUUAAUAAUACCUUGUACAUCAAGAACAAUGACUUGAUCUCAUCAGUCAUAGAGCAAAAAGAUGCAAAGUUGGCCUAUGUGGAGUAUUUUGAUCAGAACCCGAUGAAAAGUAAGAUUGCAACAGCAGAUAAACAAGAAAAUACAAAAAUGAUUUUCAGAAAUGAUGCCAGUCAACUAGUGAUUGACAAUGGGCUUGAGUCUAAAGAAAUCCAGUUAUUUGAAGGCAUGGAAUUUCUUUCUUUGAAUCCACUUCUGCAACAAAAUCAUGCUAAGGAAAUGACGACUAGCAUUCUUCAAGAUUCUUUUACCUGUUCAGCACAACGAGUUCUCUUUGCUCUGAAGCAAGCUGUGAUGCGCCGGACAUGUCACAGCCACUUUAAUCAGACUGGGAAAAUUGGGGAAAGCAUAAAGAAACAGAUUCCCGUUGCUGUUCUCUUCUCAGGUGGAUUGGAUUCAAUGAUUUUGGCUGCUUUGUUGCAUCAGUGCCUUGAUCACAAUUGUGAGAUUGAUCUAUUGAAUGUUAGCUUUGAUGGUCCUCAUGCACCAGAUAGAAUUUCAGCAAAAGCAGGAGUAUCUGAACUACAAAGAAUAGCUGCAUUCCGAAGAUGGCAUUUAGUAGAAAUUGAUGCAGAUCCAUCAAAGUUGCAGUCAUUGUCAAAAUAUUUGACAUCAAUCAUCAACCCAGCAAAGACAUAUAUGGAUCUGAAUAUUGGGACUGCAUUAUGGCUAGCAGCUUGUGGUGAUGGAUGGGUGGAAGAAGAGGAAUUUUGUCAGGGAGAAGAUGAGUGUCACUUCAAUGAAUCUCAUUUACUUUCGAAUAAAAAUAGAAAGUUCAAGCGCACAAAGUAUAAGUCAGAGGCACGAAUUUUGUUUGUUGGUUCUGGAGCUGAUGAGCAAUGUGCUGGUUAUGGAAGGCACAGGACCAAAUUUAGGCUAGGAGGGUGGCUUGCAUUGCAAGAGGAGAUGAAGGUUGAUGUUCAAAGGAUUUGGAAAAGAAACCUUGGACGGGAUGACAGAUGCAUGGCUGACCAUGGUAAAGAGGCAAGAUUUCCAUUCUUAGAUGAAGAUCUUAUGGAAACUCUUCUAGAUCUUCCACUUUGGGAAAUAGCAGACCUUGAAAAAUCUUCUGGCCAAGGUGAUAAGAAGAUUCUAAGACAGGUGGCAAUGCUAUUGGGAUUAGAAGGAGCAUCAACCAUUCCAAAACGAGCUAUACAGAGCUUGUGAGAUCCAGGGAAAAGACAAGGCAAACGAUAGUCACGCCCAAGGCAGAGAAGAAGAUUGCAGAGAGGAAAACAGUGGGGCAAGAGACUCCCACAACCAUGAUGGAAAAUAAGGCCAAGAAGAAGGCCCUCACCAAGUAUGCGAAGAAAUAUGAAAUUGAAGAUUGAAAGAAAAGCAUUGAGGCCGAACUUGAGAAGAUGUAGAAGUACGCCUCUUCUAUUAGGACUGUAGCUCAGCAUGUAUCAAAUUGCAGCACAGAAGAAAUUUGGCAGUCGAAUAGCGAGAGAGUCUAAUCGAAGGAACUUUGGUAGCAACCGUGCAGCAAAUCAAGCAGCUGCCGGAAGUGCAAUGAUUCAUUCUCUCACAAAGUAGAUAUAUCUGUAUUGAAGAAAGGAUAAUAUGAACUAUGAGCCUACCAUUUUUUUUUAUCAGUGAUGUAUUUGUUAAGAUAUUUUAUCAGUUUGCAUAAUGGAAUCAACUCAUGUGACACCUUUCAGUUGCUUUGUUACUGAAAUAAAUGUAUCAAAUACAAUAAAAUACCCUCUUUUUAGCAUGAAAACAUUGAAAAC